GAUGAACGCUGGCGGCGUGCCUAAUACAUGCAAGUCGAGCGAACAGACGAGGAGCUUGCUCCUCUGACGUUAGCGGCGGACGGGUGAGUAACACGUGGAUAACCUACCUGUAAGACUGGGAUAACUUCGGGAAACCGGAGCUAAUACCGUAUAACAUGUUGAACCGCAUGGUUCAACAGUGAAAGACGGUCUUGCUGUCACUUAUAGAUGGAUCCGCGCCGCAUUAGCUAGUUGGUAAGGUAACGGCUUACCAAGGCAACGAUGCGUAGCCGACCUGAGAGGGUGAUCGGCCACACUGGAACUGAGACACGGUCCAGACUCCUACGGGAGGCAGCAGUAGGGAAUCUUCCGCAAUGGGCGAAAGCCUGACGGAGCAACGCCGCGUGAGUGAAGAAGGUCUUCGGAUCGUAAAACUCUGUUAUUAGGGAAGAACAAAUGUGUAAGUAACUAUGCACGUCUUGACGGUACCUAAUCAGAAAGCCACGGCUAACUACGUG
rnacentral:rRNA from 1 species